rnacentral:rRNA from 1 species
GAUGAACGCUGGCGGCGUGCCUAAUACAUGCAAGUCGAGCGAGUGGAUUAAGAGCUUGCUCUUAUGAAGUUAGCGACGGACGGGUGAGUAACACGUGGGUAACCUGCCCAUAAGACUGGGAUAACUCCGGGAAACCGGGGCUAAUACCGGAUAACAUUUUGAACCGCAUGGUUCGAAAUUGAAAGGCGGCUUCGGCUGUCACUUAUGGAUGGACCCGCGUCGCAUUAGCUAGUUGGUGAGGUAACGGCUCACCAAGGCAACGAUGCGUAGCCGACCUGAGAGGGUGAUCGGCCGCACUGGGACUGAGACACGGCCCAGACUCCUACGGGAGGCAGCAGUAGGGAAUCUUCCGCAAUGGACGAAAGUCUGACGGAGCAACGCCGCGUGAGUGAUGAAGGCUUUCGGGUCGUAAAACUCUGUUGUUAGGGAAGAACAAGUGCUAGUUGAAUAAGCUGGCACCUUGACGGUACCUAACCAGAAAGCCACGGCUAACUACGUGCCAGCCGCCGCAGUAA